CGGCGGACGGGUGAGUAAUGCUUAGGAACCUGCCUAUUAUGGGGGACGAACAUUCCGAAAGGAAUGCUAAUACCGCAUACGUCCUACGGGAGAAAGCAGGGGAUCUUCGGACCUUGCGCUAAUAGAUGAGCCUAAGUCGGAUUAGCUAGUUGGUGGGGUAAAGGCCUACCAAGGCGACGAUCUGUAGCGGGUCUGAGAGGAUGAUCCGCCACACUGGGACUGAGACACGGCCCAG
rnacentral:rRNA from 1 species